GUGAAUCAUCGAGUCUUUGAACGCGAAUGGCACUGCUAUGUAAGUAGCAGUAUGUCUGUUUGAGAAUCGCAAAACACGAUCAACUCUAGUUAAGAGUUAGGAUUGACCUCAUAUGCUUUUAGCGUAUCUGGUUUGAAUGUAUUAAGUUGAUGGGCUUCCCAGCAUUGCUCAAUGUGUGCUAGCUAGACAGUCGUCCCGAUCUCACAUUACGGCUUUGUUGCAAGGUUCUAUUCACAACUUUUUAAUUGUUUCAUUAUCAAUUGCGAUCUCAAAUCAGGCAAGAUUACCCGCUGAACUUAAGCAUAUCAAUAAGCGGAGG
rnacentral:rRNA from 1 species